rnacentral:tRNA from 1 species
AGAGGGAUAGGAUAUCUAGUCUAAUAACCUUCAAAGUUAUAGGUGUAUAAG